GUCGGUGUAAAAGAUUUGUAUACGUUUCAGACUUAUCGUCUUAAUGAUCACUUUGGGCAGGGAUAGUAUUACAUUGUGUGAAUUUCACACUAGGAGGCAACAAAAAUGGAACAAGGUACAGUAAAAUGGUUUAAUGCAGAAAAAGGUUUUGGUUUUAUCGAGCGUGAAAAUGGGGACGAUGUAUUCGUACAUUUCUCAGCAAUCCAAAGUGAAGGCUUCAAAUCUUUAGACGAAGGUCAAAAAGUUACUUUCGACGUUGAGCAAGGCGCUCGUGGAGCUCAAGCUUCAAACGUUCAAAAAGCAUAAUUUAACCUUUCAACAGACUCUACAUUGUAGAGUCUGUUUUU
rnacentral:other from 1 species